UACGGAGGGUGCAAGCGUUAAUCGGAAUGACUGGGCGUAAAGGGUGCGUAGGUGGAUAAUUAAGUUAUAGGUGAAAUCACUGGGCUUAACCUGGUGCGGAAUUAUAAUACUGGUUAUCUAGAGUGUAGGAGAGGGUAGUGGAAUUUCCGGUGUAGCGGUGAAAUGCGUAGAGAUCGGAAGGAACACCAGUUGCGAAGGCGGCUACCUGGCCUAAUACUGACACUGAGGCACGAAAGCGUGGGGAGCAAAC
rnacentral:rRNA from 1 species